rnacentral:rRNA from 1 species
AUUGAACGCUGGCGGCAGGCCUAACACAUGCAAGUCGAGCGGAUGAAGGGAGCUUGCUCCUGGAUUCAGCGGCGGACGGGUGAGUAAUGCCUAGGAAUCUGCCUGGUAGUGGGGGCUAACGUCCGGACACGGGCGCUAAUACCGCAUACGUCCUGAGGUAGAAAGUGGGGGAUCUUCGGACCUCACGCUAUCAGAUGAGCCUAGGUCGGAUUAGCUAGUUGGUGGGGUAAAGGCCUACCAAGGCGACGAUCCGUAACUGGUCUGAGAGGAUGAUCAGUCACACUGGAACUGAGACACGGUCCAGACUCCUACGGGAGGCAGCAGUGGGGAAUAUUGGGCAAUGGGCGAAAGCCUGAUCCAGCCAUGCCGCGUGUGUGAAGAAGGUCUUCGGAUUGUAAAGCACUUUUAGUUGGGAGGAAGGGCAGUAAGUUAAUACCUUGCUGUUUUGACGGUACCAACAGAAUAAGCACCGGCUAACUUCGUG